CACCAGCCCCUCGAGUGGUGGGGAUGAUUAUUUGGCCUAAAGCGUCCGUAGCCGGCCGGGUAAGUUUCCCGUUAAAUCCAGCGUCUCAAGCGUUGGACUGCGGGAAAUACUGCCUGGCUAGAGAGUGGGAGAGGUCAGCGGCAUUCUGGGGGUAGGGGCGAAAUCCUUUGAUCCCCGGAGGACCACCAGUGGCGAAGGCUGCUGACUAGAACACGUCUGACGGUCAGGGACGAAAGCUGGGGUAGCGAACCGGAUCAGAUACCCGGGUAGUCCCAGCCGUAAACGAUGCAUGCUAGGUGUUGGGUUGGCCACGAGCCACCCCAGUGCCGCAGGGAAGCCGUUAAGCAUGCCGCCUGGGAAGUACGAUCGCAAGAUUAGAAACUUAAAGGAAUUGGCGGGGAGCACCACCAGGCGUGAAGCCUGCGGUUU
rnacentral:rRNA from 1 species